rnacentral:misc_RNA from 1 species
GAGACAAGCAUAUGACUACUGGCAGGAUCAACCAGGUAGCAUUCCUUCGAUACGCCGACACCCGCAUGAGCCCGUGGACUCAAACACGGGCGCAACCGUCGUUCGAGAUGUUGGACAGAAUGCAGUGCUUUGAUCAGAUGGAGGCCCUCAAGAGACCACCCACCCACAGCAUAUAACAUUCCGCAUCCGAGAGCACGGGCAAAGAAACUUAUGGGCCAAGGCUGCCACGCAACUGGGCAAGGCAUGCCAGGGACACAAGGCUUGCCUGACGUCCACCCCACCACCCAUAAGGGCAGGGGGCGGAGAGAAGCACACAAACCAUCAGAUUCCUUUCARUAGGUAAGCAACACAG